CCAAGAGUGAUGCAAUCGUCGACCCAGCUUCUGAUGCUGCCAGGGGAUCAAUGUCCUGAAUUGCCGAUGAGACAUUUGCUUGGAUUGGUGCGGCCGCCGAUGUUGCUGCUGAUUGGUAGGCUGCCCGAGUUGUCGCGGAUUCAGUGCGAGCUCGUACCCUACGACUUGUCUUCUUUGUGGUAGACAUUUUGAGCUUAUGCUUCAAACGGCGGGUGGCUACAUCUUCCAAUGAUGGGAC
rnacentral:lncRNA from 1 species